rnacentral:misc_RNA from 1 species
UCUCAGUUUCGUGAUUGGUAGUUUCACCAAAUCCCUCAUAAGAAUUUUUAUCGAUGCCGUGCAAGUUAAACCUAUCUGGGUUGUAAGCAUUUUCUCUUUUAAGGAUUUGGUUAUUUGGGUUUCUGGGGUAAGUGAUCAGUGAGGAAUUUGUCAUUAGUUUUGUUGUCGAAUGGAUGAAUUAGUUGGACCUCGCUUGUACAGCUGCUAUAAAUGUCGAAACAAUGUCUCUCUUCACGAUGAUAUAAUCUCUAAGGCGUUUCAGGGAAGGCAUGGCAGAGCUUUUCUGUUUACUCAUGUGAUGAAUAUUGUCGUUGGGGCUAAAGAAGACAGAACUCUCAUGACUGGUCUUCAUACUGUUGCUGAUGUACUCUGUGGGGAUUGCAAUGAGGUUUUGGGCUGGAAAUAUG